ACUUGAAUAGCUUAAUGUUUAGAGCACGACACUGAAGAUGUUGGUGAGGUAAUUAUUUGCCUUUAAGUG
rnacentral:tRNA from 1 species